rnacentral:rRNA from 1 species
UACGAGGGGGGGCGAGCGUUGUUCGGAAUUAUUGGGCGUAAAGGGUGCGUAGGCGGUUCCGCAAGUCCUGUGUGAAAAUCUUCGGGCUCAACUCGAAGUCUGCACGGGGAAACUGCGGGGGCUUGAGUGUGGGGAGAGGUGAGUGGAAUUCCCCGGUGUAGCGGUGAAAAUGCGUAGAUAUCGGGGAGGAAACACCAGUGGCGAAGGCGGCG